CACUUCCUGCAAUAAGACCAUACCUACUCAAACAUGGCCACAACUCCUAAUGGUGCCAUUCCCUUUGGGGGCUAUUUUCUUUCAAACCACCAGAGAGUACUCUUCAGUGGAAGUAUAUACAAAUUGUGUAGGGAUUUUCCAGUAUGUGGCAUUCAUAAAUCAUUACCCAUGCUGAGAUGGACUUUUUUGUGAUGCAGCUGCAUCUGGGUGAUAAUUCACCAUUUAUAUCCCUGUAGGAAACCCCAAUAAACUCAUUGGUUCACUGAGUCAGGCUUGGUGAAAUCCUUUCUUUGGUUGACUGCUUGUGCCUUAUCUUAGGAAGAAUAGACAUGUAUUCAUGUUUUCUUAGGAUCACACAAUACCUCAUAUCAAGUGGUUCCUUUUUAUUUUUAUAUAGUCUUUGGCUGGCAAUUUCUCACAUGUAUACAAUAUUUAUUGAGUGUAUCCACACUGCAUGAUACCUCUCUCUGAAAAUCCGUGGCUAACUGAUCUGUUGCAAGUAACCAUAGGUGCAGUCAGUGCAUGAGUGCAAUGAACAUGCCGCAUCCAGAAGACAAUAUUUCUCAGUACUUUACUACAUCCUUUGGUGCUUACUUUUUUCAUCCCCACUGCACAAUGUUUCCUGAGCUUUCAGGAAGGGGUUGGUAGCAAUGUCCCAGUUAGAGCUGGACACUCAGCAGACAUUUAUUCUCAGUACUCUGACCAGCUCUUGUCUCUGCAUUAACAACUGCCAAGGUUUUUCUAGUCAAAGUCAUUUGUAGCACUAAAUAUUUAGAAGGCAGUUUUUCAACCUAUUUAGCACAGCAACAAUAUGUUCCUUUAAGGCCUAUAUGACCCGGUAUCACGGGGUCUUGCAUCCUGCUCCUUUGAGCAUAUGACUGAUUUAUGAACUACCACAUUCAUCCUUUCCAACUUUCACUCACCAAAGGUCAGGCUUAGCUGAAUGUUCAAAAUGCUUGUUGGAACAGCAAAUGAGUAGAGGCUUCACUUUAAUCCCCAUUUCAAAAUGUACUGUCUAAUUCCAUUCUGGGGAUAAAAGAGUUUCAGAGGCCCACACUGGCUUUCCCCUCCCAUCUCACUCCAGCCAGAUGGGGAGGUAGGAAGAGCUCCUAUCCCUCUACUGUCUGAUUAGAGAUUUCCCAUGAGCUGUCACAGAUCUGUCACAGGAACUGAGGAGAGCCCAAGAAGGGCAAGAAGAGUUGGAAAAGGAUUGAAGCAAUCAGGAACUGGGCUUCCUGCUGCAGGGGAGGAGGAAGGAGGGGCCAUCUUGACAUCAGAGCUUGGUGAACUCUACCUGCCCCCAUGCAGUUUCCCAUGGGCCCUGCCUGCAUCUUCUUGAGGAAAGGCAUUGCUGAGAAGCAGCGGGAGAGGCCACUGGGACAGGAUGAGAUUGAUGAGCUCCGGGAAGCAUUUCUUGAAUUUGACAAGGACCGAGAUGGGUUCAUCUCUUACAAGGAUUUGGGCAAUCUCAUGAGGACGAUGGGUUACAUGCCUACGGAGAUGGAGUUGACUGAGUUGGGCCAACAAAUCCGCAUGAACCUUGGUGGCCGUGUAGACUUUGAAGACUUUGUGGAGCUGAUGACCCCCAAACUGCUUGCAGAGACAGCAGGGAUGAUUGGUGUCCAGGAGAUGAGAGAUGCCUUCAAGGAGUUUGAUACCAAUGGAGAUGGGGAGAUCACACUGGCAGAGCUACAGCAGGCCAUGCAGAGGUUGCUGGGGGAGAAGCUCACACCUCGGGAAAUUUCUGAGGUGGUACAGGAGGCUGACAUCAAUGGAGAUGGCACUGUUGACUUUGAAGGUAAUGUACUGGACAGAAAUCCAGGAAUCUACAUCUGUUCCUUCCCCACGUGUUCUCCAAAUCAUUAUUCCCUGUACUUCUCCAAGUUUGCAUUUGAAGGUAUGUUCUAGUUUCAUUUCUGUUGAUGUGAUAAAACAGGUCACUCACUGGUCUUUGCUCAGAUAGCUUUCUCAUGCAGAAACCACUUACCCAGGGAAUGGUGUUGCCCACAGUGGACUGGAACCUGCUGCACCAGUUGGCCACCAAACAAUACCCACAGAUAUGUCCACAGGUGAAUCUGAUUGUGGCAGUUCUUCAGUUGAGGUUUCCUCAUCCCAGAUAACUCUAGAUUGUGUCAAGUUGAUGACUAUAAACUUAGUAUAUUAUGGGUUCAUAGCUGAGGGAAGCAUAGGUUGGCUACAUCAAGUUUAAAUUGUGAUAUUCUCUGGUUUAAAGUACUCAGCAUCUAGUUAUUGCCUUCAGGCAUGGGGCCACCAUGUGUAGUCUGUUCUCCAAGUCAUGCCUCUUCAGGCCACCCAGUCCUGUCUUCUUCAACCAUGCUGUGAAUUGGUGUGCCCUGGGGGAAAUGUGUUUGCUGUUGCACAUCCUUCAACUUCUCUUCCUUUGUAUCUCACGUCCUGCCCACUUGUUGCACUUCUAAGACUUCCGCAUCCCUCAAGGACACAUGCCAAUACCAGUUGCUAAGAAUCUUCCCUUACCCUUGCCUGAGUAUAUUAAACCUGACUGUGAGCCUUCUAGACAGUUUUUCUCUUUUCUGUGGAACUUACCUUGUGUUUGUUUCCAGGCGGCAGGACAGUUGAGGAUCUCCCACCCACCCCUUCCUUUUGCUGGUGCUUGUGUGUGAGGCCAAUGUACCAUAUGUGUGUGCACACACACUCACAGAGAUCAGAGGAGGGCAUUGGGUGUCCAGCUCUGUCACUCUCCACUGUAUUCCCUCUAGAGAGAGGCUCUCUCUGAACCUGAAGCUAGGCUGGUAACUUGCAAGCCCCAGCAGUCCUCCUCUUACCACCUCCUACAGCCCUGUGGUUAUAGGUGCACACUGGAAUUUUUAAUGUGAGUACCAGGGAUUCAAACUGAGCUCCUCAAGCUUUUGUAACAAGCACUCUUACUCACAGAUCCAGCUCCCCAGCCAUUGAGAGGGGUCUUUUAAAAGUCAUGUCUGUUCUACAAGUCCCCAAAUGGAAACUUAAUAAAUUUGUUAGGUACCUGCUGAAUCUUACCAGUCACAGAUGGACCUUGUGCAUCAGAAAAUGGGAAGGAGGUGGAGGUGAGGCCAACUAUAAGCAAAGGAAAGAUAAAAUGACCUCAAGAUGUAUUGGAGCCAGCAAAUUCAUCUGACAUUACAUCUAGACAAAGUAAUGGGCAAUCUGUUCAUUCAGGGCCUUCUAUUCACUAUCCACCUGAUCACAGGCAGGCCAGUGUCCCUUACUAGCCUCUAUUUCUUUUCUGUGAGAUGGCAUCAGGAGGACUGAAAGAUAGAACAAAGGUUAGAGGUAGAGCUCGGUGGAUAAGAGCAUUUGCCUUGAGGAUACCUGAGUUUGGAUACCUAGCACCCAUGUGAGAAAAUAUUCAGGCAUGGGCUCAUGCCUGUAACUGGUGGAGGAUAGAGGUGGUGAUCAGAGGUUCACUGCAGUUCCUGGCCUGCAGCUUACCAAAGAAUUGGUGAGAUAGGUCUGGAGAGAUGGCGCAGUGGUUCAGAGUGUUAGUUGCUCUUCCAGAGGACCCAGAACCCAUGUCAGUUCCCAACUCCAGUUCCAGUGAGAUCUUUUGUUCUCACUGGGCACUGUAUACAUGUGGUGCACAGGCACUCAUGUAGGCAAAACACCAAUACGCAUUAAAACAACAACAACAACAACAACAACAACAAUAAUUAGUGAGCUCUAGGUUCACUGAGGGACCUAUUUUCAAGGGAAAAAGAUGUGAAACGAGUUGCUUUCCCUAAGAGGAAUGUCACAGGAAAUUUUCUUUUUCAGAGUUUGUGAAGAUGAUGUCUCGUUGAAGAGAUUUUCCUUUUGUGUCUCCCUUGGGAAAAGAUGGUGUGGGGAACUUUUUCACAGUCUGAAGGAAGAAAAGAAAAUCUUUCAAAAAGUUCCACACACAACCUACUUUCUGCCUGGCUCCUCUAACAACAACCUCAUUUCUUUUUCUUGGCGAGAGAGUGUCCCACUAGUCACAGGGCUGUGAGGAGGAGCCUGAUAAGUCUUAGCUUGGAGGAGGCCUUCAAGGUUGAGUUUCCCAGAAGCACAGCCUGUCGCUUCCCUGUAAAUACCCACGUCCCUGCUCUAGCGUGAGAUAACCCAGGGAGAACUGAGCUAAACCACUAAUCUGGAUUAUCAAGGUUUAGAGCAAGCUGAUCUCUGGAGGGAAUUAAUCCCCUGCAAAAUAUCUCGAGGGAGGUGAAGUGGGUGGAAAGAAGACAGGAUUUUUCAAAUCCCUAGUCAGCCAGGUGACUGCAAUGCCAUUUCCAGAAGCCCUCUGCCCCUGUGCUGAUGUGCCCUGGGCUGCUCCAGGUGACUCUCUACUUUACUUAGGUGGUUCAUGGACUCCAUCUCUCGCAUACAUGGAUCUGGACACUUCAGCCUCUUUAUCAUUCAAGAUAAAGAAUUCGUGUCAUGCCUUCUUCCAAGCUUUUUUUUGCUUUGAUGUUCUUUAGGUAAACCUAUAGAAUAUGUCAUCUGAUCUCUGACCCAAUAGCCUCAAUUUAUAUGACUGAAAUAAAGUAAAAGGAGAAUAAUAA